rnacentral:other from 2 species
AAAGUCCUGUAGUGUUCGUAGCGCACUAUACGUUUUGAGCCAACAUUUUUUACUAGGGAGCUUGACGUUUCAAUAGGAAGUAAAUGCCUCGGUAGCUGGGGACUUACGGAGUAUUGAACAAGGCACCCACCUGCGAUUGCAGGCUUCAAAACUUGGUGAUUUUAUACGGCACAACGGGACUACA